rnacentral:rRNA from 1 species
AGUCGCACGGAAGCUUCGGCUUCAGUGGCGGACGGGUGAGUAACGCGUAGGUAUCUGUCCACGGGUGGGGGAUAACUCCGGGAAACUGGAGCUAAUACCGCAUAAUACCUGAGGGUCAAAGGCGCAAGUCGCCUGUGGAGGAGCCUGCGUUCGAUUAGCUUGUUGGUGGGGUAAUGGCCUACCAAGGCGAUGAUCGAUAGCUGGUCUGAGAGGAUGAUCAGCCACACUGGGACUGAGACACGGCCCAGACUCCUACGGGAGGCAGCAGUGGGGAAUAUUGGACAAUGGGGGCAACCCUGAUCCAGCAAUGCCGCGUGUGUGAAGAAGGUUUUCGGAUUGUAAAGCACUUUCGGCGGGGACGAUGAUGACGGUACCCGCAGAAGAAGCCCCGGCUAACUUC